CUGUUUCUUUUUUUCCGGGAAAAAAACAAACAGUUUUGUGUCACCGACGAAAGGAAACAAACUUAUUUUUCGAUAAAAACAAAGCUAAGAUCCAGACCACAUGUUCUUAUGUUUCUGGAUCAAAACUAAGAAUAUGUAUGCAGAUCAACGGGAGCACGGGUCAAGCUAAGAAGCUUACUAUAGAAGAUCUGUUUAUGAGAACUCAUGCCCUAACACACCGGCUUUGGAGGAGAAGACGAACAGAGAACAUCGAAGAGGAUUUGAGAUAGUCGGAGUCUACAUGGAAAGUAUUUUUCUUAAUUAUUCAAUUACUUAUAGAAUUUGGUAGCUGUAUAGUCAUGUGGUGAUGAUGUUUGUUGUCAAAUUUCAUUUUGUGUGUUUGCUAAUUCAGCUAUUGGAGCGCUUUAGAACUGUUCAUCCGCGGGCACGCAGAUAAUUUACUGAUUUUAGUUAUUUAUUUCUUCAGUUGCUUUGUGUGUAUAUUAAUUGGAAUUGGUAUAUCAGCUUCUCCAGAAGUGCUGCAAACAUAGAAGCAGUUUAUUGGAGCUGUAGUGGAGUUGAUAGAUCGAGAAUAAUUAUUAGAGGAGUUUGAUGAGGUUGCUUUUACAGAGCAUCGUGUCUUUGGCAAGCCAGUGGAGGAGGAAGACAAUUAUUUUCAUGGGAAGAGCACUGUUGAAAAGAAGUAAGUACGGCUGGUUUUAAUAUGUGUAUUUACUUAUUUAUCAGAGUUUCAGAGAUUACUCCAUGAAAAUGGACAACAAAUUUGUAUUUUUCUAGUGUGUUGAGCGGUUGUUGUUUUUUGUUUACAAUGAGAAAAUGUGGGCGAAGGAACAACCACAAGCUGAGCAGAAAGAAGUUACUCUCCCACCCUGAGCAGAGAAAGUAAACAACAACUUAGGAUUAUGGUAACAAAUUGGAAAGGCAUCUGACGGAAAUUAGGAGGAAAGAUAACAGAGCUAAAAGAUAUCUACCUUGGAGAAAAAAAAAGAAGUGGAAAAAAAUUUUCCUAUGAAUAAUUACGUAAUAUAUGGGACUGAUUUCUAUAUAUUGCUAAGAUUGCAUGCGAGAUUUUAGGUUGUAGCGUCUUUUUUAAAAAUUAAUUGGAUUAAUUAAACCAGAUGGUUUAGAAGAUUAACGGGACAGGAUAAGAAACAUUGGUUAAAGCUUUAUGUUAAUGAAAUUACUAAAAGACCAAUAAUUAUCCAAGUUUCCAAACAAUUUUCUUUAAGAUUACUAUUCAUGUUUCCAAACAAUCUCAAUGUGUACUUCAGUUUUAAUAAUAUAGAUGGUAAGAGAGCUUUAAUGUUUGAACAAUGUACGUGUUCAAAUAGUAAUAGUUUCUACUACAUUAAUGCACCAAUUUAAACAAAUACAUCAAAUUAAAGUCAAAAUUACUUCAACUCACAUUGGAUUUUAGAGAAAACGAGGAAAAGAUUUACAUAGAGACACUGGUUAUGACUUCAUGUUAAUAAAGUUAUGAAACGUUCGAGCUUCUCACUCUUUAUAACUACAAUAUUUUCCUUCUCACUUGAUUGCCAUACAUCACUAUCGAGUAGACGAACACAUACAGACAAAAUGGGUUUUUCUGAGUGUAUAAAAAGAAUCGUUCUAGAUUUCUUGAUGAGAUCUUCAAUAGUAAACCGUUUUCGACUGUGCUAAUACUUCAUAUGUGCGUUAAUUCUACAGAAAUGAGAAACAAGAUCAUGAAACGUGUCAAAUAAAACGCAAACGGUACGUGGGUUUUAGUAUGCUGAGGAAUAUUCGAUUAGAAAAGAACAAUGAAACCUAAUUCUUGUCUAUUCAUUUGUCUCCCCCUUAUUCUUAAAUGUCUUAUGUUUUUGCACUUGAUUUAUCCUUCACUCUCCCUCCAAAUAACAAAAUUUAUAUGUUCGUUAGCUAGGAAUGCACGUUCUUUUCAUAGAUCUCUAUGUUUUAUUGGUUGUUCUAUUCCGGUCUGGUUAUUUAGACCACCUCAAGUUUGAGUAAUAGAAUAGUCGUUUGUUGUCAAAAAGAAAAAAAAUUCAUAUAUAAGACAGUCGAAAAUACAUAGUUAAAUAGUUUAUUUUUAUGUAUAAUGUAUUCUAAUGAUUUCGUUAGUCGAGGUGAGAGAGUUUUCGGUAACCUUCUUUCCUUCAACUUAAAGCAAAACCUUAGGGUUCUUAGGGGGGGUUAUUGGGAGUGAAAUUUUGAAGGAAUUUUAAAAUUUAGAGAUUUCAUUGUUAUUGGUUAAUGAAUUCUUAAAAUCUUAUUAGAAUCCUUUGUUAUUGGUUUGUGGACUUUUAAAUUCUAUGGAAAUCCUAUGUUAUUCAAAAUGUUUAGUUUUUAUUGACUUUGUAAUUCUAUUAAACACUUUUGUUAUUGGGACAUAAAUUCUCUAUAGUUUUACUCAUAACACUCAACUUUACAAAUAUCACAUAUAGUCAUAGGAUUCUCAAAAUCUAUGUACCAAAAACACAAAAACACAAAUACACAAACACAACAAAAAUUUUUACAUUUUUAUUGUCAAGUCAAAGAUAAUUGUAAAAAGAAAACUAAAGAUAAAAGAAAUUAUUAAAAAUAACAAUUUUAAAAAAAAUCUUUCAUGAAAUAUAACUAUUUGAUAUUAAAAUAAAAUCAUGAGAAAAUUCAUAGGUUGAUCUUAAAAACUUUAAAACAAAAAUCAAACAAGACAAAUCAAAAUGUCAAAAUAUUAAAAAACCAAAAAUUUUAUUUAAUUUUCAAAUAGUUCUAUUUUAUGAAAGAAUUU